CACCAGCCCCUCGAGUGGUGGGGACUAUUAUUUGGUCUAAAGCGUCCGUAGCUGGCUGUAUCCGUCCCCCGUUAAAUCCAGCGUCCUAAACGUUGGACCGCGGGUGAUACCAUACAGCUAGAGGGUGGGAUAGGUGAGCGGUAUUUCUGGGGUAGGGGCGAAAUCCUUUGAUCCCAGGAGGACCACCAGUGGCGAAGGCUGCUCACUAGAACACGCCUGACGGUCAGGGACGAAAGCUGGGGCAGCGAACCGGAUUAGAUACCCGGGUAGUCCCAGCUGUAAACGAUGCUAGCUAGGUGUUGGGUCGGCCACGCGCCGCCCCAGUGCCGCAGGGAAGCCGUUAAGCUAGCCACCUGGGGAGUACGGCCGCAAGGCUGAAACUUAA
rnacentral:rRNA from 1 species